rnacentral:rRNA from 1 species
UGCGUAGGCGGAUGCAAAGGCGCUUUGUGAAAUCCCACGGCUCAACCGUGGAAUUGCUUGGCGAACCAUGCAUCUUGAGGUUGGUAGAGGUCACUGGAACGAUAGGUGGAGCGGUGAAAUGCGUAGAUAUCUAUCGGAACGCAACGGUGAAGACAGGUGACUGGGCCAAAUCUGACGCUGAGGCACGAAAGCGUGGGGAGCAAACG